rnacentral:rRNA from 1 species
GAUGAACGCUAGCGGCAGGCCUAAUACAUGCAAGUCGAACGGUAAGGUCUCUUCGGAGAUACACGAGUGGCGCACGGGUGAGUAACGCGUAUGCAACCUACCUAUAACUGGGGAAUAGCCCUUCGAAAGGAGGAUUAAUACCCCAUAAUAUUUCAGAGAGGCAUCUCUCUGUUCUUAAAACUCCGGUGGUCAUAGAUGGGCAUGCGUGACAUUAGUUUGUUGGUGAGGUAACGGCUCACCAAGGCUACGAUGUCUAGGGGGUCUGAGAGGAUGGUCCCCCACACUGGUACUGAGACACGGACCAGACUCCUACGGGAGGCAGCAGUAAGGAAUAUUGGGCAAUGGAGGAAACUCUGACCCAGCCAUGCCGCGUGCAGGAUUGACAGCUCUAGUAGUUGUAAACUGCUUUUAUAUGGGAAGAAGAGCACCUACGUGUAGGUGUCUGACGGUACCAUAAGAAUAAGGACCGGCUAACUCCGUGCCAGCAGCCGCGGUAAUACGGAGGGUCCAAGCGUUAUCCGGAUUUAUUGGGUUUAAAGGGUGUGUAGGCGGAAAAAUUAGUCAGUGGUGAAAUCCUGCAGCUCAACUGCAGAACUGCCAUUGAUACUGUUUUUCUUGAAUAUAGUUGAAGUGGGCGGAAUGUGUCAUGUAGCGGUGAAAUGCAUAGAUAUGACACAGAACACCGAUUGCGAAGGCAGCUCACUAAGCUAUUAUUGACGCUGAGGCACGAAAGCGUGGGUAGCGAACAGGAUUAGAUACCCUGGUAGUCCACGCCGUAAACGAUGAUUACUCGAUGUUGGCGAUAUACUGUCAGCGUUCAAGCGAAAGCGUUAAGUAAUCCACCUGGGGAGUACGGUCGCAAGAUUGAAACUCAAAGGAAUUGACGG